CAAAGGUCAUUUUAUUUGGUUUUUUGGAGGCGAAGUCAGAGAGGGGAAAGCCCGAUAAAUCCUGAUAGGGAAAUUUGCAUGCUUAUGCCAUUAGAAAGAAUUAGAAGGAAAUGAGGUUGAUUCAUGAACAACAAUGAAGGCUUCUUUUUCCCUAAAAUGAUUUCAGAGGAAGAAAAACUGCAAUUUGGAGGCGUACUCGGUACUUCACAUUUUAUCAGACAUUUAACGCGCCCAGGAGCGCACUAAGACAGAGUACGUAUCUUCACUGCGUCAAGGAAGAAGAGACAUUGAGUACGUACAUCUUUACGAGUACAAGAGCAACGGAAGGUAAGGAAUAUAUCCUUUGUUAACCUCUCUAGAUGCUGCCUGUGUGGUGAUUCAGCUGAGCUGACAUCAGAAACCUGAGAGUAGCCUGCAUGGAAGAUCAAAGUACAGAGAAACAUUUCAAAAGGUUUUAGACUG